rnacentral:lncRNA from 10 species
AAUUGAAACCUGAGCGGUGGCGCGGCCAGCUGUGGGUGGAGUCACCCCGCGGACUGGACGGGAACCUGGCGGGGUCAGGUCCCGUCAAGCAGCCUGGCUCAUGGCUGUGUGCGGCCUGGGGAGCCGUCUUGGCCUGGGGAGCCGUCUUGGCCUGCGCGGGUGCUUCGGCGCCGCCAGGCUCCUGUAUCCCCGUUUCCAGAGCCGCGGCCCUCAGGGCGUGGAAGACGGGGACAGGCCACAGCCUUCCUCGAAGACACCCAGGAUCCCCAAGAUUUACACCAAAACGGGAGACAAAGGGUUUUCUAGUACCUUCACAGGAGAAAGGAGACCCAAAGAUGACCAAGUGUUUGAAGCCGUGGGAACUACAGAUGAAUUAAGUUCAGCUAUUGGGUAAGGGGGACAGGAUUGGCCUUGAGGUUGCGUUUGAGUCGAGUAUGAGUAAACGUAAUGAAUGUGAAGCUCUCACGCAUGCUGGGCAGCAGCCUCGGAGGUUGUCAGCCCUUAUUGAACUUUCCUCAGCCCUGAAGCACAGGCUGGUCAGCUCCACAAGGCUGUGGGGCUGCAGACUCCUUUCCCUUCUGGCCCUGCCUGUGCCUGCGCUGGCCUCUGGCCCAUGCCAUGUGAAGCUGCCUCCCUCUCAUCCCUCACUUUUCAGGUGAGCCUGUGUGUGCCACUGAGGUUAGUAUACUGAGUGAAAGAGGUGAGUUAGUAUAAUGCACAGUACAUCCAAUGUGAUCCCUUUUGUGACUGUUGUUUUUUACAUAAGCCAAAGUUUAGAAGGUGGACUCAAGGAUGGACCAGAUCAGGAUGGGCCAGGUCAUGCUGUGAUCACAGACAACCCCAAAAUCUCCUGACUUAUGACACCAAAGAUGGACUUGCUGUUCCCACUUCAUGCCCAUCACAGGGUAUAUUCUUUGGCUCCAUGCGGCCUUCAUUCUGGGACACAGGCUGCUAGUACAGCUGCUGCCUGGGGCAAUUAUCAGUCAUUGUGGCAGAGGGAAAAGAGGUCAUGGUGAAGCUCACAUUGGCUCCUGACGCUGCCAGGGGAUUGUGCAGUGUCAGUGUUGUCGCCAGUGAGGUUUACCCAAGAUGUGAUUAUUGCUGAUUGAAAACUUUUCCCACUACCCCACCAUGAUGACUUGAAAUAUAGUCAACAUUGGCAGUUUUUGACAGUCUUUAUGGAGACUAAACUUUGUUGGUAAAUAAAAGUUGAAAAAAAAAUGACUAGGUGCAGCGGCUCACAUGUCUAAUCCCAGCGCUUUGGGAGGCCGAGGUGGGAGAAUCACUUGAGCUCAGGAGUUUGAGACCAGCCUGAGCAACAUAGCAAGACUUCAUCUCUACU